UGCCAGAGCCGCGGUAAGACGGAGGGGGCUAGCGUUGUUCGGAAUUACUGGGCGUAAAGCGCACGUAGGCGGCUUUGUAAGUUAGAGGUGAAAGCCCAGGGCUCAACCCUGGAAUUGCCUUUAAGACUGCAUCGCUUGAACAUCGGAGAGGUGAGUGGAAUUCCGAGUGUAGAGGUGAAAUUCGUAGAUAUUCGGAAGAACACCAGUGGCGAAGGCGACUCACUGGACGAUUGUUGACGCUGAGGUGCGAAAGCGUGGGGAGCAAACAGG
rnacentral:rRNA from 1 species